ensembl:lncRNA
GUGCGUGGUCUGGUUCUCCAGAGCUGUAGCUCACUUUAGAGACGGCCUGGGAAGGCGGGGAGGAAAAGGGGUGCGGGAAAUUUAAAAGGGAAGGAAAAGAACUUCCUUUUCUUCUCAUCCGCUUCCUAUUUAUUUAUUUAUUUCUGGAACACUUCUUUCUUAUUGGACGAAGAGACGGAAGAGAUUGCUUCAUUUUACAGUCACCCUAGAAACGCCUCCGUCCUUCUCAGAAAGGAGAGUUGGCAGCGGGUCUGGCUGGCAUUGUGGGAUCUGUACAGGAUCCGCUCUUUGCUCCCGGUCCACGCCGAAGCUGUCAUCGGCUUAGAAUAGCGGUUAAGAAGUGUGGUGUGGAUGGAUGGACGGACCUACCACACGAAAAGCUCAGAAGCCCAAAUGUCUCCAUCCUUAACCUUAACUUGACUUUUAUAUGCACCCAUUGCUCCUCUGCACAGAGUGGUGUACAAGAUGUGUUUGUGCCUAUAUGAUCUCCCACCAUGAUGCGCCACCAUCUAUUGCCCUCAUUGAAAGCCAAAACAGUGUCCUCUCAUCAGUCUCCUCAUCUUGGACUUUGAACCUCUAAAACUGUGAGCUAAAUAAACCUUUUCUCUUUAUAAGUUACUUGCCUUUGGCAUUUCACUGUAGUAACACAAAGCAAACUAAUACAAUGCCCUUCCAUUACUUUGCACCUGUUCUGCGUAAUCAAACCUAGAUUAUUUCACAGUCUGCUUUUCCUGUUCUUCCUUCUCAAACAACAGGGCUGGAGAAAAUUAUAUGAUGUAGAGUCUUGUGCUGUUGCAGAUUCUGGCUCAACUGAACCCUCAGAAACUGUAUAGAUUCCUUAACUUGUCUUUGAUCAAUUUUCACCAGUAAAUAUACCUACUUUGUCUUUGUCUUUCUAUUCAAGACACAAUCAACUCAGAACUCACAUUCCUAACAAAAGUUUUCUACCUCCUAUUUAAAGGAGAAAACAUUGAGGCCACCUUCAACAUCCCCAUGCCUCUACCAUCUUUUCCUCCUCUUUUUCAAAGGUCAAAACUUCCCAUUUCUUUCAGGGCUUAAACAAUUAUUUUCUUUCUUUUUUCUUUCAGCCACACCUUCAACACUGUCCUCCCCUCAGUUCAUGUGUUCAUCUCUCUUAUCUAAUCCAAAAGCUUGACUAAUGAAGUGCACUGAUGUCUGAAACUUUCUUUGAAAUGAAUCAAAUAAAAAACUAGGUGGAUGAAUGGGUGGAUAAAUAUGUUAUAAACCAAAUAAAACAAAAUGCUGUUUGGAGAAUAUAGGUGAUGGUUACAUGGGUGUUCACUGUACCAUUCUUUCAGUGUUUCUGAAUGUUUAAAAAAUGUCAUAAUAAAAAUGUUGAGUGAAUAAGGCUUCCAAUCCAGUAUCUUUCUCCAGCCAUCAUCCAAUCUCUCUUCUUUCUUUCUCCAUCUAAACUUUUUUAAAAAGUAGACUAUACUCACUACCUGUACUUCCUGUUUAUCUCCCAAUCACUGUUGUUUUCCUCAGAUCUUUAAAAAACAUGUUAUAUAUACAGCUGAAGCCCUGUCCCUUUUUGCAGUAUUACUAGGGAUUGAGCCCAGGAACAUGCUACCACUAAACUACAUCCCUACCCCUUUUUAUUUUCUGAGACAGGGUCUCACUAAGUUGCCCAGGUUGGCCUCAAACUUGGGAUCCUCCUGCCUCAGCCUCCCAAGUAGCUGGAAUUACAAAUGUGCCCACCAUACCAAGCAUGAAGUCCUCUUUGUACUCCAU